UCAAAAUGCGGCACAUUACUCAUUUUGGAGA
rnacentral:piRNA from 1 species